ACCGUCGACAGUCAGGUAACGAGCGAGACCCACGCCAACAGUCGCUAGCUCGUCCUCCGGGAUGGAGAGGACACUGUUGGGACCGCCUCUGCUAAAGAGGAGGAAGGAAUGGGCAACGGUAGGUCAGCAUGCCCCGAAUUAACUGGGCUACACGCGGGCUACAAUGGGUGGGACAAUGGGUAUCGACACCGAAAGGUGAAGGCAAUCUCCUAAACCCAUCCUUAGUUCGGAUUGUGGGCUGCAACUCGCCCACAUGAAGCUGGAAUCCGUAGUAAUCGUAUCUCAAUAUGGUACGGUGAAUAUGUCCCUGCUCCUUGCACGAAUUCGCCG
rnacentral:rRNA from 1 species